rnacentral:misc_RNA from 1 species
UUGUUACGUUUGUAAAAAACAAUAUAGUCAGACACAAAUGAAAAAGGUGGUAUUUGGAAUGUCUUUGGCAGGCGCCUUUCGACCUGACCGGCACCGAGCUGCUGGUGCAGCCCUGCGCCGGAGACCUGCCAAAGCAACAGGGUAGAUGCACAAGUGUGUAGAAGAGGUUGGGCCGGAGACCCAGACUUCGUUAAUGAUCCUUCCGCAGGUUCACCUACGGAAA